AUCCUGGCUCAGGAUGAACGCUGGCGGCGUGCUUAACACAUGCAAGUCGAACGAAGCACUUUAUCACGAUUUCUUCGGAAUGACGAUUUAGUGACUGAGUGGCGGACGGGUGAGUAACGCGUGGGUAACCUGCCUCAUACAGGGGGAUAACAGUUGGAAACGACUGCUAAUACCGCAUAAGCGCACGGUAUCGCAUGAUACAGUGUGAAAAACUCCGGUGGUAUGAGAUGGACCCGCGUCUGAUUAGCUAGUUGGCGAGGUAACGGCCCACCAAGGCAACGAUCAGUAGCCGACCUGAGAGGGUGACCGGCCACAUUGGGACUGAGACACGGCCCAGACUCCUACGGGAGGCAGCAGUGGGGAAUAUUGCACAAUGGGGGAAACCCUGAUGCAGCGACGCCGCGUGAGCGAAGAAGUAUUUCGGUAUGUAAAGCUCUAUCAGCAGGGAAGAAGAAAUGACGGUACCUGACUAAGAAGCCCCGGCUAACUACGUG
rnacentral:rRNA from 1 species